rnacentral:rRNA from 1 species
CGCGUAGGCGGCCUGGCAAGUGGCGUGUGAAAUCCCCUGGCUCAACCAGGGAACUGCGCUCCAAACUGCCAGGCUUGAGGACAGUAGAGGAAACUGGAAUCCCAGGUGUAGCGGUGAAAUGCGUAGAUAUCUGGAGGAACACCAUUGGCGAAGGCGAGUUUCUGGGCUGAGCCUGACGCUGAGGCGCGAAAGCUGGGGGAGCAAACAGGAUUAGAUACCCUGGUAGUCC